rnacentral:rRNA from 1 species
UACGGGGGGGGCAAGCGUUGUUCGGAAUUACUGGGCGUAAAGGGCUCGUAGGCGGCCAACUAAGUCAGACGUGAAAUCCCUCAGCUUAACUGGGGAGCUGCGUCUGAUACUGGAUGGCUUGGAUUCGGGAGAGGGAUGCGGAAUUCCAGGUGUAGCGGUGAAAUGCGUAGAUAUCUGGAGGAACACCGGUGGCGAAGGCGGCAUCCUGGACCGAUAUUGACGCUGAGGAGCGAAAGCUAGGGGAGCAAACGGG